rnacentral:lncRNA from 1 species
UUGCUUGAAAAAUUUAAAAGAAUAUUAAUUAAUAUUUUUAAAUUUUACUAGUAUUUUAGUAAACAUAAAGAAUUAUUUUUUAUUAAUUUAGAAUUUUAGUUUAUAGAUUUUAAUUAUUUUAUUUUAAUGGUGGAUUAUUAAAAUAAUUAAGGUAUAUUAAAAUAAUUUAUUAAAAAUAGCUCCCUAAUUACAACACACUUUUAAUUGAUGUUUAUUUAUAGUCUCUCAAUUUUAUUAUAUUUUUAAUUAAUUUGAAAAUUUAUAAAAUAAAUAAAAGAGAAAUUUAUAAUAAUUAAAGAGAGGGUAUAAAUCAAAAUUAACCGUUAAUAGAAGUGGGUGGUAUAAUUUAUUAGUCUAAAAGCUUGUUGAAAUUAGUGCAUUUUCUUCAAUAUCGUCUAAUUUAUUAUUCUGAAACAUAGUAUAUAUAUAUAUUAUUAGAGCUUUCUUCGGGCAAUGUUCAGAGAUAUGGCACGCGCAUAGAAAAGCGAGUAGCAAUCAUAAUAAUAUUCGAAGAACCAAAAGUGCCAAAGUGCCUGUAUCCACACUACACGCACAACAUAGAGAAUCGCAAACAAAAGGGCGCGUGAAGUCUAUAAAGGGCAGGUUCACUUCUUAUCCUCUGCAAAAGUGAUCACCGUACUCUAACCCAAAAGACCCAAUAAAUCACUUGCCACGUCAAAAGACAUUUGAGCCUCACCGACGUGGCAGCUAGCGAAUGGAGAAGCAGAAAUUUUCAGGGAUUUUAGUGUAGUAGGUUGUAGAGAAUUAUGACUGUGUACAUGAGCAAUGGAGAAGGCAGACUGAGACUGCAAAAAGCAAAGAGCAAGAAAUGAAAGGGAAACCCUAACUUGAUGAGGGAAAUAAUAAGUGGGGUCCAAGUGGAAAUUGUAAAGAAAUGAAGAUUGAAUUGACCAAACAUUUACACUACAAGCAGACAAAAGUUAGUAUCAAAGGCUGCUUAAAUAUGCUUUAACUAUGAGAUUAAAGUAAGCUUUUGAGUCUUUCUGGCUGUUGGCCUUACUUUCAGGUAAAGCCAACUGGUUAAAAAAGGUAAUCAUUUAAAAAAAAAUGUGCUAAACCCCAAAGAUUAGGUAUGGCAUUCCUCCCUAAUAUUAUUGGAGGAAAAGAAAAGGACAAAUUACUGUAUAUUUCAUGUGUAUAAAAAAAUCUAAGUAAACUUUGGCUUUGUUGUGUUUUCCAUCUCUCUUAAGUUUUCUUAGAGAGGAUUUUCUCUCCGUUAAGGUUCCACCUCAGAGGCAGUAGGAUUUUUUGCCGUUGCUCCAACUCCUUCUGGACAGAGGUGGCUUCUCCAUUUCAUCCAGUAGUGAAAUUUCUUUUCUCUCCUAUCGGGUGAAGUUGUAUUGUUCUUUUUGUCAGGUCCUGUCCUAUGGAUUUGUGGGAUUCUUACUCGUUUCAUUUUUGGGCUUACUCACCUUGAGUUGGGCCUAAUCGUAUUCAAUUUUAUUUCUUUUUCAACAAUUUUGCAUCAAUAGUUGUUUUGUCUUAUGUUUUGUUUCAGGCUUCUAACUUCCUCUUCUUCUCCUUUUUCUUUUUUCUUUUUUUUUUUUUUUUCAAACUGAUUCUGAUUGAAGUUUAAACUUGAAAUAUUAGAAUUCUAACAACUUCAAUAUCAAUGAAGUAAAUAUGUCGAUG